rnacentral:hammerhead_ribozyme from 1 species
AUCCAAUUGACGAAUCCCAAAUAGGAUGAAACGCGCGUCCUGGAU